rnacentral:misc_RNA from 1 species
GAUGAAGAACGCAGCGAAAUGCGAUAAGUAGUGUGAAUUGCAGAAUCCCGUGAACCAUCGAGUCUUUGAACGCAAGUUGCGCCCGAAGCCACUAGGCCGAGGGCACGCCUGCCUGGGCGUCACACGCCGUUGCCCCCCCAUCUACUCCUUCGGGAUUGCGGGGGGGCGGAUGAUGGCCUCCUGUGCGCCUAGCCGCGCGGUUGGCAUAAAUACCAAGUCCUCGGCGACGCACGCCACGACAAUCGGUGGUUGCGAAACCUCGGUUGCCCGUCGUGUGCGUUCGUCGCGCAUCGAGGGCUCGAAAAAAUGCUCGGCUCCGGCUGGGCUUUCAACGCGACCCCAGGUCAGGCGGGGUUACCCGCUGAAUUUAAGCAUAUCAAUAAGCGGAGGA